rnacentral:rRNA from 1 species
AUGAAUAUCCUGUGUCUUAACUGUCGGGGUUGCGGGCGGCCCGAGAGAGUUAAUGAAAUAAGCAACUUAGUUAAGUUGUAUCACCCAUGCUUAGUGUUUCUCUCGGAGACUAAGCUGUCUACUACGAGAGCUCAGGACUUGUGGUUCAGGCUCGGUUUCUCCAAUGCUUUUGGUGUUGGAAGUAAUGGACUCGGUGGCGGGUUGGUUCUCUUUGGGAACAAUGAUCCAGUAGUGAGGUUAGAAUCUUAUAACAAUUCCCACAUUGAUGUUUCGAUUCAGAAUGAGAACUUGGGAGAGAAAGAAUGGAGAUUCACAGGUUUUUAUUGGGAACCAGUGAGAUCCAGUAGGAAGAACAGUUGGGAACUAAUGAGAUACUUAAGGCAAAAAUCUAAUCUACCAUGGCUUUGCGCAGGGGAUUUCAAUGAAGUUCUCGAUGCGAGUGAACAGUUUGGAGGGAAUGUUUGGGAAGAAUGGAAAAUGGAUGGUUUCAGGGAGGCUGUGGAUGAUUGUCGGUUGGAUGAUUUGGGUAAUAUUGGUCUGCCGUAUACGUGGGAUAACAGACAACAAGGCAUGAACAAUGUUAAAGUAAGACUUGAUAGAGGUCUUUGUGAUGAGAAAUUUCAGGAAAGCUUUGACAACACCUCAGUGCUGCACGUUUAG